UGAUGAUUGAAAUAUGAUGAGCAUACAAAAUGUUGAUUACAGUGAAAAACAGUAAGAUCCAACUCUGAUUUCAUUAAAGA
rnacentral:snoRNA from 14 species